rnacentral:lncRNA from 1 species
AUGAGCUGUUUUCCUGUCAUUUGCUGCACUGCUGUACUUGUGUUUGGCUCAGUUGUAGCGGUUCUUGCAGAAGCAGGUGUUACAGCUUGGUGCAGAUCUCCCCUGUGGCCCUGUGAUGGAGAACAUCUGGAGAGCCUCUGUUCCGCCCCUUCUUUCCUGUUCCCGCACAGGCCUUUUAAGUCCACAGGAGAGAGCAGUUCUCUGUGUCGCCACCACCGAUUUGAUGCACUUUUUCCGGGAAAUAAAGGCUUUGGAGUCAGUCAUGCCAUCUCUCAGCUACGAGUGAAAUGCAAGGCCGCGGUCUAAAGUUCACAGUUCCCCUCAAACAGCAGCCCUUGACCAGCUCAAAUUUCGGCAACAAACCGGCACAAGAAUUAGCACUAUUUCGGUAAAAAGCGAUUACAGAGAAUGGUUGAAUACACUUAAAUUAAAAGUGCCCUUUUAUUUCUAAAAUGCUUGUUAAAGGAGUUUAAAUGUAUGUAAUAUUGUAACUAUGCUGUAUUCACCCAAAUUAAUUCAAUUUGUCUUGUAUUUUGUCCAUGGGUGUUCUUGCUUAAUAAUAAAUAUUCAUCUUUUGGUUAUUGCUGUUGCCUAUAGUAAUUCUGUGUGAUUUUAUAAUAAUAAAAUAUAUAAUAAUAUAACAAUAUAAUAAUUUUUAAACCUUGAUAUCAAUGACUCCUGUAGAAGAAUGUUGUUACUAUUUAAGAAAUACAAAAUA